CAGCCUCAGCAAAUGGACUAGUAGUUCCUCAAAGCAGAUCCCACAUGAUCCUUGGUCCCAUUCCUUCAAGAACCUUGUUUUCCAGGCGCUUCAUGUUUCCUGUUGCAGGUGGGAUGAGACCCCCUCAAGGCCUCAUGCCAAUGCAGCAGCAAGGAUUUCCUAUGGUCUCUGUCAUGCAGCCCAAUAUGCAAAGCAUGAUGGGAAUGAAUUACAGCUCUCAAAUGUCCCAAGGACCCAUUGCAAUGCAGGCAGGAAUACCAAUGGGACCAAUGCCAGCAGCAGGCAUGCCUUUCCUGGGGCAGCCACCAUUUCUGGGCAUGCGUCCUCCAGGCCCACAAUACACUCCAGACAUGCAGAAGCAGUUUGCUGAAGAGCAACAAAAACGAUUUGAACAGCAACAAAAACUCUUAGAGGAAGAAAGGAAAAGACGUCAGUUUGAAGAGCAAAAACAAAAGCUCAGACUUUUGAGUAGCGUGAAACCCAAGACAGGAGAGAAGAACAGAGACGAUGCUUUGGAAGCCAUAAAAGGAAACUUAGAUGGAUUUUCCAGAGAUGCUAAGAUGCACCCUACUCCAGCAUCACACCCCAAGAAACCAGGGGUGGCCGUGUUUCCCUCUCAGGAUCCUGUUCAGCCCAGAAUGCCUCCUUGGAUUUACAAUGAGAGUUUGGUUCCAGAUGCCUAUAAGAAAAUUUUAGAAACUACAAUGACUCCAACUGGAAUAGAUACUGCUAAACUUUAUCCCAUUCUGAUGUCAUCUGGACUUCCCAGGGAAACUCUCGGACAGAUAUGGGCCUUAGCCAAUCGGACUACACCUGGCAAACUUACUAAGGAAGAGCUUUAUACUGUUCUCGCCAUGGUAGCAGUAACACAGAGGGGCGUUCCUGCCAUGAGCCCUGAUGCUUUGAGCCAGUUCCCAGCGGCUCCCAUUCCCACCUUAAGCGGCUUUCCUCUGGCUCUGCCUACCCCAGUGAGCCAGCCGACUGCAAUGCCCUCUGUCCAAGCAGGCUCCAUGCCCCUCAGCCUUGGACAGCCCAUCAUGGGCAUUAACCUUGUUGGACCAGUGGGUGGAGCUGCAGCACCAACUUCCAGUGGCUUCAUGACAGCCUACCCAUCAAAUCAGGUAAACGGAGAAGCUUUGUGUGUGCUAGAUCAUUCCUGAAAGUGCAUGUGGAUAGCUUUCCUUCCAGAGAUACAGUCUGCUGGAUUAUGGUGGGCACUUGAUGUGAAAAUUAAGCGGUGUGGAGACAAAGGUGUGGUCACCAAUGAGCUCUCACCUACAAUGCUCAGGGUCCUAAGUUUUACCCUAACUCUGCAAGAAAUAAUUUUCAAGUAUUAAGAUAACACAAAUUUUAAUUGUUUAUUUUUAUUUGUUUUUAACUAUUCUUUA
rnacentral:lncRNA from 1 species